CGGCCCCGGCUCCGGCCGGCGGAGCCCGCGGGCCGCGGAGCUGCGUGCAGCACCCCAGGCCCCCUCAGGUGUCGGGCGCGCAGGACGAGGGAGAGAUGUUUGUAAAGGAGAACGCAAAAAAUAGGUGGCAUCAGGACAGCGAUUCUUUUUUUUUUUUUUUUUUUUUCCUUUCGCGUACCAGCUGGACGGAAGCGCCUGUUGAGUUGGUCAAACUCUGCGAUAAUGAGGCGAAAAUAAAAAUGGAGGGCAGGCUGCACGUCCUCCGGGAGCAGGGGCUGUGUGGGCAGAGCGGCGGGACUGGGUGUGCUGGGGAGCCCUGUCACACUCAGCCUGAGCUGCUGCUAUCUCUGCACCGGCGACACCCCAAAACACCUGCAGCUGCUUCCCUGCUCCCGUGGCUUAGGCUGACUGCCACAGAGAGUGAUUACACAUAUUGAGAAUAAAAGACGUCUCUUGGGCUUGCAGUGGUUGCAGUGCGUCUGACACACAGCUUUCUGCUGAAAAGGUUGGUUGGGAGGAAUCUUGCCCUUCUUCCGGGUUAAUAACAGCUACAGAACUCUUUCCAAGCUUAGUGGUUUCAUCCUUUUCCUCGUGCCUUUCUUAAAGUGUUUUCUGUCAGAGUGUUCAUGACAGGCACCUUAGUGUAACCUUAAUAAACCUUGUAAUUGAGUGGUCUUA